CUACGGGUGGCUGCAGCUGCGAAUUUUUUGCAAUGCACGAAAGUGUGACAAAGCGAGCCAAAGUGCUUAUCGUACAGAUAAGCUUUUCUUCAACGUAAAAACUUGGAGGAAUAAGGACUGGGAAAGACCGGUGCCAGCCGCCGCGGUAAUACCUGCAGUUCAAGUGGCAUCCAUUUUUAUUGGGUCUAAAACAUCCGUAGCUUGCUAUUUAAGUCUCUUGUGAAAUCUAAUAUCUCAAGUAUUAGGCUUGCGGGAGAUACUGAAUAGCUAGAGACCGGUAGGCGUAAGGAGUACGGGCAAGGUAGUGGUAAAAUACGUUAAUCUUGCUUGGACUAACAAUUUAGCGAAGGCACCUUACGAGGACGGAUCUGACAGUGAGGGAUGAAGGCCAGGGGCGCAAAACGGAUUAGAUACCCUUGUAGUC
rnacentral:rRNA from 1 species